CUCUUAUCGAGAGUGGUGGAGGGACUGGCCCGAUGAAACCCGGCAACCGGCAUUUUAUAUGCGUCUUGGUGCCAAUUCCAGCAGCGUUUCGCUGAAAGAUGAGAG
rnacentral:ncRNA from 2 species